rfam:Medicago truncatula strain A17 chromosome 2, whole genome shotgun sequence.
AUGUAGUGUGACAUACCCGUUUGGGAAUUACUCUGAUGCAUGUUUAUUUAUUAAUUAAUUGAUUUUGGGAAACGGGGUGUUACAACCAGCA